UACGAAGGGGGCUAGCGUUGCUCGGAAUUACUGGGCGUAAAGCGCGCGUAGGCGGGUUGGUAAGUCCGCUGUGAAAGCCCGGAGCUCAACUCCGGAGGGUCGGUGGAUACUGCCAGUCUUGAAGGUGCUAGGGGGAGAUGGAAUUACCGGUGUAGCGGUGAAAUGCGCAGAUAUCAGGAGGAACACCGGUGGCGAAGGCGGUUCUCUGGGCAUGUCCUGACGCUGAGGAGCGAAAGUGUGGGGAGCGAACAGG
rnacentral:rRNA from 1 species